CAGAGAGAAGCAAUACCGCGAGGUGGAGCAAAACUUCAAAAAUAGGUCUCAGUUCGGACUGUAGGCUGCAACUCGCCUACACGAAGCUGGAAUUGCUAGUAAUCGUGGAUCAGCAUGCCACGGUGAAUACGUUCCCGGGUCUUGUACACACCGCCCGUCACACCAUGGAAGUUGGGGGUGCCCAAAGCCGGCAAGCAAAUAUGCUGUCUAAGGCAAAACCAAUGACUGGGGUGAAGUCGUAACAAGGUAGC
rnacentral:rRNA from 1 species